rnacentral:lncRNA from 1 species
CAUUAGAGACUUUGAUCUCGAGGUACACAUUUCUGGAGUUUAAAAAAAUAGACUGUAGCCUACUCAGAGCCUGAUUGAGUUGGUGAUAAAAAUUGGUCCAUCUAUCCAGCUAAUUGGCCCAAUAAACUGAAGUCCCUAAGGUCGUUGAUUUACCAUUAUUAUUAUUUAUUUAUUUUUUUGGUUACGGCUGGGGAGAACUGAACUGAAGAGGACAUGUGGCUUUGUUGUUGUUGUUGCGUUUGUUGUUUUUAGUUGCGUUUGUUUAUCUUCACUCUUCAGUUGUCCGGUGUAUGAGUCUAGCACUCUAGCCGUUUAGCCCCCACCUUCUUCUUGGCUCUCAGUUGAAGUGAGGGUUUCGAUAGAAAAACACGCCAUUGUUCUUUGUUGUUUGUUUUUUUAAUGUUAGCCUGACUGCUCGGCAGUAUUUGUAUUUCUGAUGGUUUAGAUGAGAGUUAUAAAUUUUUUUUUACGUGGAAUUAUACACCGAAAGUGUUGAGUGCCAUUUUUUAAUUUGUAGAGGAAUGUAAGUUCAGGACUUACAGUCAUACACUGAUUGAAGACCAUUAUUCAGUUUAUUCGAAAAAUUAAAUUUGUCGAGUUCGAAGAAAACUUCAGAGGUUUUUGGCAACAAAGCUUUUAUUCUGUUCUUGUGCGCCAAUCGGCUCUACAUCAGCUGGAGUGCUCACAAAGCCCUCAGAGAAGUCAGAGAUAUAUCUUGAUAGUUUAAAAUUAUAAUUAAGGUGACGAGUGACACUUUCUCGACUAAGGAAACGGAUUAGUUGCGAAUCUGAGUCACUGCAACGACGACGAUAUCCACGGUUAUAUGAUUGAUGGAGGUAAACCGAUGGAAAUUAAGCCGAUCCCUUCGCGACUCCGCCAAAUGCUCCACUCUCCACCUGAAACAGAAAACGAAAUAAUUAUGAUCGGUGCUCAAAUCGUUCGUGCUGUUGAUCCUUUCCCACAUCUCAAAGCCCAAAUCAAAGCAAGCUGCGAUAAAACCAUUAACAAUAAAAAUACACUUUACGUUACCAUUAUUUAAUGACAAAUUUUAUUUAUUAGUGGAAUAACCGGGAAUAAUCGAUUCAGAAGUAACUCUUAUUCUAUCAGUUGUAAUGAUUAAAAAUAACUCAAGGCCAUAUUACCUGAACUUUUUAAGACAUGUAGGGAAGGGUGGUCUUUUUCUCGCUGUGAUAUAAGCACGCUAAAACUUAUUAUGGCCGUCUCGGUGUGUACCCUGGGGUGAAAAAUCCCAACCCUUAUUCUUGAUGCGCCUGAUUUGACGACAGUUCACUUGGAGCUUUACUAAAAAAUAUCUGUCAGUCGCACGUGUCAAGUUAAAGGCUACGGAACAGUCAUUUUCGGAAUUCAUUUAAAUUUAAUUUAUUUUUCUGAAUUACUAUUAAGAACUCGAAAGAUGUCGAAGCAAGUCGAUCUUCAAAGUCCUUCUUCGUCUGAUGACAAACCCGAUCGGGAUGCUGGAUCAUCACAAAACAGGUUUUCUUUUUUUAUGGUUGUUUUCCUAUUUUAUAUUUUCUAUAGUCUUUCUUCAACUGUCUCACUCAGGUUACAUGGGCUUAUAUAUGUGUAUUUCAAUGUGUUGGCAUAUUUUUUUCAAUUCACAAAAUAAGUGUUCCAUAGCACCGUAUUCCGAUAUUCAUUUUUUUGCGUGUUUUACAGUAAUUCAGUAGAUUUAACCCUUUAUCGAUGUGAGCCGAUAAAAGUUUUGAGCUUCUAGACGCCACGUAAACCAGGGUUUAGAGAGGAUUCCCUAUAGGGGCUUUGUCCCGACAGGCAAUGGAGAGAUCGAGAGGAUCUUUCCACGGGAUUCCCGACGGUAGAUAAAAGGUUAAGUUGGGCGGCCGAAGCGGCCGAAAAUGCAAAGAGGUCCGCAAAGUUUCAAGUUAAACAGGAGAAGAAGGAAAAAAAACAGAUUAUAAAGACAAAUAUUCUAAUGUCAAAAAUAAACUUCUUGCAAAGGAAUCCCAGCCAGAGAAAAUUAAGAAGGCUUUGGCUGAAGUCGAUGCCGAAGUCAAGUCUUCGAUGGCCAUGGAUCCUGAACCUGAUAGAACCGAUGAAGGCGAACCUAGCGACGCCCUGGCCGGUCCAUAAUGGUAUGGAGCGUGGCUUGGGUAUGGACUAUGGAGAGAGCAGGUUACCAUUGUCCAUUGCUGUGAAUUAAUGUGAAAUCUUUUUCGUAUGCCAGUUUCGUUUGCCAGUUUAGCAUUUGAUUUGAACCCACUUUUUCUAUUUCUUUGGAUUUCCCAUAUAUUUAAGAAUCGAGUUUGCCUUAGCGUGAAAAAUUCCAAUUACGUGUGAGCACUUGGUUUAUUUAUACUUUUGUCGGUGUAUCUCGUACCAAUAUGUACGUUAUCCGAGAAAUAGAAAUUUGUUAAUUCACAA